rnacentral:rRNA from 1 species
UGGUGGCGACCGGCGCACGGGUGCGUAACGCGUAUGCAAUCUACCCUAUACUGAGGGAUAGCCCGGAGAAAUUCGGAUUAAUACUUCAUAGCAUUUAUGAAUCGCAUGGUUUAUAAAUUAAAGGUUACGGUAUAGGAUGAGCAUGCGUCCCAUUAGCUAGAUGGUAAGGUAACGGCUUACCAUGGCAACGAUGGGUAGGGGGCCUGAGAGGGUGGUCCCCCACACUGGUACUGAGACACGGACCAGACUCC